GCGCGCGUAGUUCAGAGGACGAGAACGCGGCCCUCCGACAGCCGAGGCCGGUGGUUCGAAUCCACCCGUGCGCACCA
rnacentral:tRNA from 1 species